rnacentral:rRNA from 1 species
CUAUACAUGCAAGUCGAGCGAAUCUGAGGGAGCUUGCUCCCAAAGAUUAGCGGCGGACGGGUGAGUAACACGUGGGCAACCUGCCUGUAAGACUGGGAUAACUUCGGGAAACCGGAGCUAAUACCGGAUAAUCCCUUUCCUCACAUGAGGAAAGGCUGAAAGACGGUUUCGGCUGUCACUUACAGAUGGGCCCGCGGCGCAUUAGCUAGUUGGUGAGGUAACGGCUCACCAAGGCCACGAUGCGUAGCCGACCUGAGAGGGUGAUCGGCCACACUGGGACUGAGACACGGCCCAGACUCCUACGGGAGGCAGCAGUAGGGAAUCUUCCGCAAUGGACGAAAGUCUGACGGAGCAACGCCGCGUGAGUGAUGAAGGUUUUCGGAUCGUAAAACUCUGUUGUUAGGGAAGAACAAGUAUCGGAGUAACUGCCGGUACCUUGACGGUACCUAACCAGAAAGCCACGGCUAACUACGUGCCAGCAGCCGCGGUAAUACGUAGGUGGCAAGCGUUGUCCGGAAUUAUUGGGCGUAAA